rnacentral:rRNA from 1 species
CUAGUCUAAAGAAUAUCUACAUUCUCGCGACUUCUUAGAGGGACUUUGCAAGCAACUGCAAGGAAGUUUGAGGCAAUAACAGGUCUGUGAUGCCCUUAGAUGUCCUGGGCCGCACGCGUGCUACACUGACGCAUACAGCAAGCAAAUCGGCUCCGUGAGGCUGCCGGGAAACAACAAUAUGCGUCGUGCUGGGGAUAGAUCUUUGGAAUUUUUGAUCUUGAACGAGGAAUGCCUAGUAAGCGCAGGUCAUCAGCCUGCGUUGAUUAAGUCCCUGCCCUUUGUACACACCGCCCGUCGCUCCUACCGAUUUCGAGUGGUUCGGUGAACCCUUUGGACCGAGAGUGGCUUGACUACUUUUGGAAAGUCGAGUAAACCUAAUCACUUAGAGGAAGGAAAAGUC